GACCCAAUAGCACAACGGUUAGUGCGCCUGCUAGCAUUGGGUGAACGAGGAAUGUUGUACGCGGGAGGUCCCUGUUCGAUUCGGGGUUGGGUCA